rnacentral:rRNA from 1 species
UCCAGCAGCCAUAUCACCCUGCAACUCACAACUGGCAACCCACUGAAGCUAAGUGUGAGGUGUGAGCCUGGUCAGUACCUGGAUGGGAGACCUCCUUGGAAAAACUAAGGUUGCUGCUGGAA